GCUUAAUAAAUAAUUGUGGUCAUCACUAUUAAACAUAAUUGUGACCAGCUGCUGAAAGCUUGCAAUUAUUUUUUUUCUUUACCGUCAGCAGAGAGUUCUGUUACCUCAGUGAGCUGAUUUGGGGACUUGGUGUGUUGGCGAUUUUGCGGUAGUUCGUUUCCGUGAUCUGUUUCUUUCCUAAUCUCGACGACAUGGUCAUUUGGGUUCUUUUUCAGCGUUGACUACAACUACUGAUUUGGGCAGGCCGUCUAGGUCUGUG
rnacentral:lncRNA from 1 species